rnacentral:rRNA from 1 species
GACGAACGCUGGCGGCGUGCCUAAUACAUGCAAGUCGAACGCACAGUUUAUACCGUAGCUUGCUACACCAUAGACUGUGAGUUGCGAACGGGUGAGUAACGCGUAGGUAACCUGCCUGGUAGCGGGGGAUAACUAUUGGAAACGAUAGCUAAUACCGCAUAAUAUUAAUUAUUGCAUGAUAAUUAAUUGAAAGGUGCAAUUGCACCACUACCAGAUGGACCUGCGUUGUAUUAGCUAGUAGGUGAGGUAACGGCUCACCUAGGCGACGAUACAUAGCCGACCUGAGAGGGUGAUCGGCCACACUGGGACUGAGACACGGCCCAGACUCCUACGGGAGGCAGCAGUAGGGAAUCUUCGGCAAUGGACGAAAGUCUGACCGAGCAACGCCGCGUGAGUGAAGAAGGGUUUCGGAUCGGAAAGCUCUGUUGUAAGAGAAGAACGGGUGUGAGAGUGGAAAGUUCACACUGUGACGGUAUCUUACCAGAAAGGGACGGCUAACUACGUG